GCGAACGGCUGAGUAACGCGUAGGUGACCUGUCCUGAAGUGGGGAAUAACUGCCCGAAAGGGUGGCUAAUACCGCAUGCGGUCAUAGAAUCAGAUCUAUGACCAAAGCCUUCGGGCGCUUUUGGAGGGGCCUGCGUUCGAUUAGCUCGUUGGUGAGGUAACGGCUCACCAAGGCGACGAUCGAUAGGUGGUCUGAGAGGAUGAUCACCCAGACUGGGACUGAGACACGGCCCAGACAACUACGGUUGGCAGCAGUCGGGAAUUUUGCUCAAUGGGGGAAACCCUGAAGCAGCAACGCCGCGUGAGGGAUGAAGGCCUUCGGGUUGUAAACCUCUUUUCUCAGGGACGAUAAUGACGGUACCUGAGGAAUAAGCCACGGCUAACUACGUGCCAGCAGCCGCGGUAAUACGUAGGUGGCAAGCGUUGUCCGGAUUUACUGGGCGUGAAGAGCGCGCAGGCGGCCAGGUCAGUCGAAUGUGAAAGCCCCCGGCUCAACUGGGGAGGGUCAUUCGAUACUGCUUGGCUUGAAGAUAGGAGAGGGAAGUGGAAUUUCAGGUGUAGUGGUGAAAUGCGUAGAUAUCUGAAGGAACACCAGUGGCGAAGGCGACUUUCUGGCCUAUUCUUGACGCUGAGGCGCGAAAGCUAGGGGAGCGAACGGGAUUAGAUACCCCGGUAGUCCUAGCCGUAAACGAUG
rnacentral:rRNA from 1 species